rnacentral:rRNA from 1 species
UACGUAGGGUGCAAGCGUUGUCCGGAAUUAUUGGGCGUAAAGAGCUCGUGGGCGGUCUGUCACGUCGGCUGUGAAAUCCCGAGGCUCAACCUCGGGUCUGCAGUCGAUACGGGCAAACUAGAGUAUUGCAGGGGAGACUGGAAUUCCUGGUGUAGCGGUGGAAUGCGCAGAUAUCAGGAGGAACACCGAUGGCGAAGGCAGAUCUCUGGGCCGUUACUGACGCUGAGGCACGAAAGCGUGGGGAGCAAACAGG